CUCGAAUAUCCUUGCCAGUAGCUGCGUUACGAUGGCUGUCAGUUCCUUUAGCACUCUUGGGUGCUAUCUACCCAGACGAGCUGAUUUAUGGGGAUCCAGCCUCUCAAGAUGCUCCCUCACAAGAUCUACGCCAAUGGAACCUCCUUGGAGAACUCCUGGGGUCACCGUGAAGUCUCAAGCAAGCAUUUGUGAAGCACAGCAUAGCUACAUUUGGGAGGCUGGUGGGUCACAGAUACAAGAGUUAAACUGGGUAGAGCCAAGAGUGGAUUUCCUGCAGGACCCCACAAGAAAACGCAUCUGAUCAAUGAGAUUUCUCCAUUUACAUUCACUUGCUGAGGCCAAUCAGUUAGCUAGUGUUUAAUCCCCAUACUGGUUGCCAGGUUGAUUUUGUAUUGUUCUGGCUUCUUGAUCAAAACGCUGUGUGGUGCCCAGUCAAAAGCCUUACAGAAAUCCACAGCAGCAACUAAACAUGUGAUCUCAAAGGAAAAAAAAGAAUAGCUUGACAAGCUCUGGUUUCCAUAAAGCUGUUGGUAGGCGUUAAUUAUGUUACCCUCUAAUACUGGCUUAAUCAAUUCCCACAUCAGGCGUUCCAUCAAUUUUGCCCAGGAUCCAUGCCAGGCUGACAGGUCUAUAAUUACCCAGGUCAUCAUGUUUACCUGUUUCAGAUAUCAGCCCAUUUCUCAACUGGUGAAGGGCUGUGGGAGAAGCCACUGUGAGAAGCCCUUUCACUUUCAUUUAGUGAACCUUACGUCACUGCUCAGUCCAGCUUCCACUGAAGCCAAAGACAAUCUUUCUGUUAAAGAAAAUCCUGUUUUCUUUUUUAUUUCAACCCAAGACUCUCUGCUUCCCAUUGGGCUUUGGUAUUAAUGGAAUAAAGGAGUUAACAUCCGUCUGGAGCUUUCGCCUUCCUAAAGCCCUAGAGGUGCCAUCUACAAAGGGGAGCGA